AUUGGAAUCAUCUGGGAACUUGUUAGAAAUGCAGGAUUUUAGGCAAUAUUGCAAACAUACUGAAUCAGAAUCUGCAUUUUUAAGAAGAUUCCCUGGUGGUGUCUUU
rnacentral:miRNA from 1 species